AUUGAACGCUGGCGGCAGGCCUAACACAUGCAAGUCGAGCGAGCGGCGGACGGGUGAGUAAUGUAUGGGGACUGCCUGAUCGAGGGGGAUAACUACUGGAAACGUUGGCUAAUACCGCAUACUAUCGGAUAACCCAUAUGGGAUUAUCUAGUAGGGGGGGUAAAGGCUCACCUAGGCGACGAUCGCUAGCUGGUCUGAGAGGAUGAUCGGCCACACUGGGACUGAGACACGGCCCAGACUCCUACGGAGGCAGCAGUGGGGAAUAGUGCGCAAUGGGCGAAAGCCUGAUGCAGCCAUGCCGCGUGUAUGAAGAAGGCUUUCGGGUUGUAAAGUACUUUUAGCGGGGAGGCGUUACCCACAGAGAAAGCACCGGCUAACUCCGUGCCAGUAGCCGCGGUAAUAC
rnacentral:rRNA from 1 species